UGGACACUUCAUUGAUGAGUUUAUUCUAAAACACCUAUCUAUAGAUGGACUGGUUUAUUAUGAGCGAACAGGUUAAACUACGCCCAGUCAAGUGAAAUAAAUUGAGUAAUACAUAUAGUUGUACAAUCCAAAUUUCUGUAGAGUUUUGUUUUCUAUAAAACAACUAUUUUUAAUUCAACCUAUUUAUCCACACAGGUCAUAUGGUGGUGAUGAGUGCCAUAACAAUUUCUGUUAAUUGUUCAAUGAAUGAAAGUUAAAAGAGUGUUUAGAUGUUAAAAAAAUAAUUCUCAUUACUUUUGUUGUAUUUGGAGUUGAGUUUUCUCCUGAUGAUUUUUAAUAUCAGAAAUAUGUGCAUAACAAAAUUUACUAUUGUUUUUUGUUAUUUCAAACCUUACUUACAACAAGUAUCGUUAGAUUGGUUAAGGGGGCUCGCGGGUCUAAAUCGAUUUUUAUAUUUAAUAUAGGAUUUCGCUAUAUUUCUCUAUAAAUUUAAUUUUAUCUUAUACUUAAUAGAAAAAUGAAAUAAAAAAAUGGGGUUACCGUUCAUUUACGCUCACAAUCUGCCUUCAAAAGAAGCAUACAUUUUUGUUAAUGUCCUUUUUUUCUGUUGAACUAAUAGGAGAAAUAGCGGUAAUAUCAAAAUAAAAAAGGAACUAAAUUACAGAAAUUGCUUAAAUUUUACAAUUAUUUAGUUUAUGUACAGCUUAUUCAAAAACAACAUUAAAAAAUAUAGGUCACCAAUGAGUUAAAAAAAAAUGGCAUUUUUGCACCUAAGGGAAAUAAUUUUGAGCGUUUUAAGUGAUAUUUUCAUUUUAAAAGUCACCUGGGGCCAACACAAAUUGAUUUCUUGGAAUGAAUUUUUUACCGUAAGAUAAAGUAACAACUACUAAAGGUAAUAAAUAAAAUUUGUAAUGAAAAAUAAAUGUUUAAUUUUUUUCUAAAAAUCUUUAUACCCGCAAGCCUCCUUAAGGCUUUCAAAACAUGAUAUCAUAAUCUUAACGAAAGAAAAUUGCAUAUGUUAGAAAACCUGUCAAAAGAAUAAUAGAAAUGUAAGUUGUUAAUCUCCACUUAAACAAAUUUCCAAAAUUUCCAAAGGGAGAUAAUAUUGUAACAAAUUUUCAAAAAGGGAGAUAAUAUUGUAACAAAUUUCCAAAAAGGGAGAUAAUAUUGUACCAAUUUCCAAAGGGAGAUAUUAUUUAAAGGGGUAAAUUCAGUAAAUAAAUAUACGUCAUCAGGGACCGCCCAUUUAGGGGAGAGCUUUCUGUAUA
rnacentral:lncRNA from 1 species